rnacentral:rRNA from 1 species
UCUACGGCCAUACCACCCUGAACGCGCCCGAUCUAGUCUGAUCUCGGAAGCUAAGCAGGGUCGGGCCUGGUUAGUACUUGGAAGGAUGGGAAAGUUGAGUGCACUGAGAA